UCGCGACCCCAGGUCAGGUGGGAUUACCCGCUGAGUUU
rnacentral:rRNA from 1 species